rnacentral:miRNA from 1 species
AGUGUGUGUGUGUGUGUGCACACGCGCGUGCGCGCACACACGCGCGCACGCACACACACACACACACACACACACG